GCUUGUCUCAAAGAUUAAGCCAUGCAUGUCUAAGUAUAAAUCUUUUACUUUGAAACUGCGAACGGCUCAUUAUAUCAGUUAUAGUUUAUUUGAUAGUCCCUUACUACUUGGAUAACCGUAGUAAUUCUAGAGCUAAUACAUGCGUCAAUACCCUUCUGGGGUAGUAUUUAUUAGAUUGAAACCAACCGCUUCGGCGUGAUGUGGUGAUUCAUAAUAACUUUUGCGGAUCGCAUGGCCUUGCGCCGGCGAUGAAUCAUUCAAAUUUCUGCCCUAUCAACUUUCGAUGGUAAGGUAUUGGCCUACCAUGGUUACCACGGGUAACGGGGAAUUAGGGUUCGGUUCCGGAGAGGGCGCCUGAGAAAUGGCGACCACAUCCAAGGAAGGCAGCAGG
rnacentral:rRNA from 1 species